rnacentral:rRNA from 1 species
ACGCUCGACACCUACUGGAGGCAGCAGUGGGGAAUAUUGUACAAUGGGGGAAACCCGUGAUGCAGCGACGCCGCGUGGAGGAAGAAGGUCUUCGGAUUGUAAACUCCUGUUGUUGGGGAAAAGAGGAUGGUACCCAACAAGGAAGUGACGGCUAACUACGUGUCAGCAGCCGCGGUAAUCUGAGCGGGCUGGCAAGGC